AGUAAAAUGGCUGAGUUUAGGCAAUAAAUUGUAAAUUUAUUUACGAAGUUAGUACUUCUUUUGCUA
rnacentral:tRNA from 1 species